rnacentral:rRNA from 1 species
AUAACUUACCCUUAGGACUGGGAUAACUCUGGGAAACUGGGGAUAAUACCGGAUAUUAGGCUAUGCCUGGAAUGGUUUGCCUUUGAAACGUUCUUUUCGCCUAAGGAUAGAUCUGCGGCUGAUUAGGUCGUUGGUGGGGUAAUGGCCCACCAAGCCUAUGAUCGGUACGGGUUGUGAGAGCAAGAGCCCGGAGAUGGAACCUGAGACAAGGUUCCAGACCCUAUGGGGUGCAGCAGGCGCGAAACCUCCACAAUGUACGAAAGUGCGAUGGGGGAAUCCCAAGUGUUAUUCUUAACAGAAUAGCUUUUCAUUAGUGUAAAAAGCUUUUAGAAUAAGAGCUGGGCAAGACCGGUGCCAGCCGCCGCGGUAACACCGGCAGCUCGAGUGGUAGCUGUUUUUAUUGGGCCUAAAGCGUUCGUAGCCGGUUUGAUUAGUCUUUGGUGAAAGCUUGUAGCUUAACUAUAAGAAUUGCUGGAGAUACUAUCAGACUUGAAGUCGGGAGAGGUUAGAGGUACUACCGGGGUAGGGGUGAAAUCCUAUAAUCCUGGGAGGACCACCUGUGGCGAAAGCGUCUAACUAGAACGAUCUUGACGGUGAGUAACGAAAGCCAGGGGCGCGAACCGGAUUAGAUACCCGGGUAGUCCUGGCCGUAAACGAUGUGGACUUGGUGUUGGAAUGGCUUCGAGUUGUUCCAGUGCCGAAGGGAAGCUGUUAAGUCCACCGCCUGGGAAGUACGGUCGCAAGACUGAAACUUAA